rnacentral:rRNA from 1 species
GGAAGGAGCUAUAGCACGUUGAAUACACCAGGUCCCAAUGGAUCACUGAAGUUAAGCGUGGGGGGGCGUGGUUAGUAUACGAAUGGGUGACAGUCUGAAUAAACACGAAACACGUGCUGCUGGUU